CUGCUCUGCCAUGAUAUCACCCCA
rnacentral:siRNA from 1 species